GACGAACGCUGGCGGCGUGCUUAACACAUGCAAGUCGAACGGAGCACCCUUGAAUGAGACUUCGGUCAAAGGAAAGGAAUGCUUAGUGGCGGACUGGUGAGUAACGCGUGAGGAACCUGCCUUUCAGAGGGGGACAACAGUUGGAAACGACUGCUAAUACCUCAUGACGCAUUCGGAUGGCAUCAUCUGAAUGCCAAACAUGUAUCGCUGAAAGAUGGCAUCGCGUCUGAUUAGAUAGUUGGCGGGGUAACGGACCACCAAGUCCACGAUGAGUAGCCGGACUGAGAGGUUGACCGGCCACAUUGGGACUGAGAUACGGCCCAGACUCCUACGGGAGGCAGCAGUGGGUAAUAUUGGGCAAUGGGCGCAAGCCUGACCCAGCAACGCCGCGUGAAGGAAGAAGGCUUUCGGGUUGUAAACUUCUUUUAAGAGGGAAGAGCAGAAGACGGUACCUCUUGAAUAAGCCACGGCUAACUACGUGCCAGCCGCCGCGGUAA
rnacentral:rRNA from 1 species